rnacentral:rRNA from 1 species
CGCCCGGCCCGCCGCCCCCGCCCCCCUACGGGAGGCAGCAGUGGGGAAUUUUGGACAAUGGGCGAAAGCCUGAUCCAGCAAUGCCGCGUGCAGGAUGAAGGCCUUCGGGUUGUAAACUGCUUUUGUACGGAACGAAAAGCUUUGGGUUAAUACCCGGAGUCAUGACGGUACCGUAAGAAUAAGCACCGGCUAACUACGUGCCAGCAGCCGCGGUAAUACGUAGGGUGCAAGCGUUAAUCGGAAUUACUGGGCGUAAAGCGUGCGCNGGCGGUUUUGUAAGACAGAGGUGAAAUCCCCGGGCUCAACCUGGGAACUGCCUUUGUGACUGCAGGGCURGAAUACGGCAGAGGGUGAUGGAAUUUCCCGUGWAGCCUGAAAAGUCCAGAUAUGUGCCGGAACACCCAUGG